UACGGGGGGGGCAAGCGUUGUUCGGAAGUACUGGGCGUAAAGGGCUUGUAGGUGGCCAACUAAGUCAGACGUGAAAUCCCUCGGCUUAACCGGGGAACUGCGUCUGAUACUGGAUGGCUUGAGUGUGGGAGAGGGAUGCGGAAUUCCAGGUGUAGCGGUGAAAUGCGUAGAUAUCUGGAGGAACACCGGUGGCGAAGGCGGCAUCCUGGACCAUUACUGACACUGAAAAGCGAAAGCCAGGGGAGCAAACGGG
rnacentral:rRNA from 1 species